GACAGCUUGUAAGAACUGUUUAACUUUAUUUUAAUAAAAUAUGAGCGAAUUUUUACUGAUGGAGUUAACUGUCAUUGCUCCAACUAGACAUCUUAUAAUUGGUCGUCUGUUCAUAUAGACGGCUGCAUUCAGAGAGCCGGCGGCGGCUGAUGGACCAUAAACGGGUCCCUGAAUGUGUUCGCCGUGUUUUCUCGGUCUUAAAAUGUCAAACUUUAUUACUUACAGAUGGAAUAAACUCUUCAUAUGCUAUUAAUCAUUGCUCCAGCUAUUCAUUUAACUUUUAGGCCGUUUAGGGCUGUAUUUAGCGAGCUGGCGACGGUGAAUUAGUCAGGUACUUGAACGCAACGGCCGCCGUGUUUUAUCGUUCUUAAGGUAAAGCUUUAUCUUUUAACACGUGAAAAUGAUCUUGUAUAUACUAAUAGUCGUUGUUCUAGCUAACCAUCAAUCUUUUAGGCCGUUUCGACCGCAGUAUCAGCUGGAAGGGUCACUUGUCACUGAAGUGUAAAGCACUGUAUAAUAAGCUAUUGUCAGAGAAUCCAAAUGAAAUUUAAGCAGAAAGUAUGGCAUGUGUCCUGACUGUGUUCUCUGUUAUAUUAUAGAUUUUUUUUCAACUGUUCAACCAAGCAACAUGGAUCAUCCAAAAUUCAGAAGAGCUCCAAAUGAAGGAGCCCCUGGCCGUUGGCCCUUGACGGGCGGCAGGUGAGGUCCCAUUGAGGGCCAAAAAGCCUGAGGAGGAGGAUGCUGAGGCAUGGGACCAUGUCUGCCACAAGGGUGGUGACACCAUCAACGCCACCCUGGUCCUGCUGGUGGAAGGUCCAGUUUGGAGGGUACCAGGGUAAAACCUUCCACUGGCUCCUGGAGAACGACGUGGGCCAUGCAGUCAUCCUGGUCUCCUCCCACCAGAAGGAGCAAGAGAGGACAGGGUCUUAGUCCACCCCUCAUGGCCAACAAGGUAGAGUCUACUUGGUGGAGGCAGUCAGGUUCCACCGGGUGUUUGAGGAGGCGCAGGUGAAGUCCCUCCAGCCCGGACAGGAGAGACAGGCCCUUGUUGGCUUUGGGGACUUCAAACAGGAGACCCUGCAGAGCCUGUACCAGUCUGAGGACCCCAAACAUAUCCGGUAAAGAUGAGAAUAUAGAUACUGUGGUGACCAUUGAUGAUGAGGGAGUUUGAUAAAUGGACUAAUUUGUCUGAUUUGUACAGCUCUGUCCACUACCUGAGGAGGACGGCGCCGGCUCCUGGCACACAGAUGGAGAACGCUGUCUCUGUCUGUACGUUCAGGGCAGGGACAGACAGAGAGUACUAACACAGAAAAUGUCAUUCUUUAAAGGCGAUAAACAUUGUAUUUCUCUCAGCCUUAGAUGUACAGGCCCCUCUCUUGCUCCCAGAGCAUCCAACUCCUUCCACCUCCUCCCGGACUCCAGCAGCAGCAGCAGCCUCCAGGCCACUACCGCCGCUGCCAGCAGCAGGAGACGCAGCAGCAUCCCAGACGCCGCCGCCUGAGGAAGGACAUCAGGAGGAGUCCGAGCCAGCCUUCCUCCCUCCGCUUCCACCUGCUGGCAGUGCAGCAGUGAGGCUUUCAUACAUUCAAGGCCUCAGAUUACACGCCCUCCCUUGCACAUGAAGUAAUUUCAGUUCCUCAGAUAAUGAAAUAUGUUCGUGUCGUUGUCUUUCCAGCUGCUGCCUCAGUCCUGACUGGCAGCUCUCAGCAGGAGUGGAUCAGCCUGGUGCUGUUUUCCAGGGACAGCCGGAGAGGUCUCAGGAUCUCCUCGACACCUUAGAUGGACCAGCAGGUCACAACAUCCUGGACGUCCCGUUGCUCGACGCUCUCCGCAUCCAGGACAUAUGGAGUACGCAGAGGCACCACCUCAGCUGCACCCAGGACCCACCAGGGGUGAAGCUGUACACCCAGACUGGCAGGCUGACAAAGGGCGGCGUCAGCCUGCCUGUUUAUCGCUGGCGAGGGGCUCCACUUCGUUGGAGUCCUUCCACCUCCACCUCUACCUCAACCGGUUCAUCCCAGGGACUCGAGCCAAUGGGAAACACUUCCAGGCGUUCCUGGUCGAUGGACUGGUGAGGUGGAACGAGGACCGUGCAGCGGCAGCAGCUGAACCCCUAGAUGCAGCUGGUGGUGCCUCUGCACUCCUGCAGUGGCCACCUCAAGCACGUCCUUAAUCAGAAGAGCCAAAGGGUGACUUCUACCAGUUAUAUAUUAAUAUUAGUUGUUAGAGCCAUUUUGUACAUUGUAGAGAUGCUGAUAAAUAAUUCAGAUUUGUAUUUCAUAAGUUUAUAGUUCUUUAUUGAGGUUGUAGGAAUGCCUAUUGGUUCAUAGGAAUUGCACUUUUAUUAUUGGCUGAGAUGUGUGUAACGUCAUAAUUGCUUACUUUGUUGUAAUUAGGAUUAUGGAGACGAGGACAGCACACUAGUUUUUGACCGUGCUUAUAAUUAUUAUUAUUUUUGGAUUGCUGCAGUUUAUUGUUUGUAAUGCUCAAACGAAAGGUUUUCAAUAAACCAUAAGAAAGAAACUGUGGGAUUUUUUUCGGCUUAAGACACGCGUCAACUACAUCCUCACGCUCCAUAAUUGAAGUGUGCGUUUUAAGUAAAACUAGACGGAGCCACACUAACAUUAGUGUUGUCCUAAAAAAAA